rnacentral:rRNA from 1 species
CACGUAGUUAGCCGUGGCUUUCUGAUUAGGUACCGUCAAGAUGUGCACAGUUACUUACACAUUUGUUCUUCCCUAAUAACAGAGUUUUACGAGCCGAAAACCCUUCAUCACUCGCGCGGCGUUGCUCCGUCAGGCUUUCGCCCAUUGCGGAAGAUUCCCUACUGCUGCCUCCCGUAGGAGUCUGGACCGUGUCUCAGUUCCAGUGUGGCCGAUCACCCUCUCAGGUCGGCUACGUAUCGUCGCCUUGGUAAGCCGUUACCUUACCAACUAGCUAAUACGGCGCGGGUCCAUCUAUAAGUGAUAGCAAAACCAUCUUUACACUUUAGAACCAUUGACGGUUCUAAAUGUUAAUCCGGUAUUAGCUCCGGUUUCCCGAAGUUAUCCCAGUCUUAUAGGUACGGUUACCCACGUAGUUACUCAACCCGUCCCGCCGCUAAACUUCAAAACGGUAGCAAGCUCCUUAUCUUGUUCGCUCGACUUGCAUUGAUUAGGCACGCCGCCAGCGUUCAUCCUGAGCCAGGAUCAAACUCU